rfam:Chelonia mydas contig265640, whole genome shotgun sequence.
CAAGCUUCUCGGCUCCUUGGAGCUCAGAUCAAGUGUAGUACCUGCUCUUAUCAGUUUAAUUUUUUAUUUGAUGGAUGUCUACAACACGUGCUCUGAAGAUGGAUUCUGCUGCUGCCAUUUUUGAAAAGAUUGAUGCUGCUGUGAAGAUGUAUUCCGCUGCUGCUACUUUGAGCACACUAUCU